rnacentral:rRNA from 1 species
AUUGAACGCUGGCGGCAGGCCUAACACAUGCAAGUCGAACGGUAACAGAAAGCAGCUUGCUGCUUUGCUGACGAGUGGCGGACGGGUGAGUAAUGUCUGGGAAACUGCCUGAUGGAGGGGGAUAACUACUGGAAACGGUAGCUAAUACCGCAUAACGUCGCAAGACCAAAGAGGGGGACCUUCGGGCCUCUUGCCAUCGGAUGUGCCCAGAUGGGAUUAGCUAGUAGGUGGGGUAACGGCUCACCUAGGCGACGAUCCCUAGCUGGUCUGAGAGGAUGACCAGCCACACUGGAACUGAGACACGGUCCAGACUCCUACGGGAGGCCGCAGUGGGGAAUAUUGCACAAUGGGCGCAAGCCUGAUGCAGCCAUGCCGCGUGUAUGAAGAAGGCCUUCGGGUUGUAAAGUACUUUCAGCGGGGAGGAAGGGAGUAAAGUUAAUACCUUUGCUCAUUGACGUUACCCGCAGAAGAAGCACCGGCUAACUCCGUG